UGCAAGUCGAACGGUAAGGUCUCUUCGGGGAUACACGAGUGGCGCACGGGUGAGUAACGCGUAUGCAACCUACCUUUAACAGGGGUAUAGCUCUCGGAAACGGGAAUUAAUCCCCCAUAGUUCAUGACCACCGCAUGGUGGAUAUGAUAAAGCUCCGGCGGUUAAAGAUGGGCAUGCGUGACAUUAGAUAGUUGGUAGGGUAACGGCCUACCGAGUCUACGAUGUCUAGGGGGUCUGAGAGGAUGGUCCCCCACACUGGUACUGAGACACGGACCAGACUCC
rnacentral:rRNA from 1 species